rnacentral:rRNA from 1 species
UAGUCCACGCCGUAAACGAUGUGUGCUAGUUGUCGGGGUCCUUAGGGCUUCGGUGACGCAGAGAAAUCAUUAAGCACACCGCCUGGGGAGUACGGCCGCAAGGUUAAAACUCAAAGGAAUUGACGGGACCCGCACAAGCGGUGGAGCAUGUUGUUUAAUUCGAAGCAACGCGAAGAACCUUACCCACUCUUGACAUCCUUCUUGGGACUUUCAGAGAUGAUUGUCUUCGGUUCGCCGGGGAAGUGACAGGUGCUGCAUGGCUGUCGUCAGCUCGUGUCGUGAGAUGUUGGGUUAAGUCCCGCAACGAGCGCAACCCUACUUUUAGUUGCCACCAUUUAGUUGGGCACUUUAAAAGAACUGCCAGUGAUAAGCUGGAGGAAGGUGGGGAUGACGUCAAGUCCUCAUGGCCCUUAUGUGUUGGGGCUACACACGUGCUACAAUGGUACUUACAAUGGGG